AAGCGGAGGAAAAGAAACUAACAAGGAUUCCCCUAGUAACGGCGAGUGAAGCGGGAAGAGCUCAAAUUUGUAAUCUGGCACUUUCAGUGUCCGAGUUGUAAUCUCGAGAAGUGUUUUCCGCGCCGGACCGCAUACAAGUCUGUUGGAAUACAGCGUCAUAGUGGUGAGAACCCCGUAACUGAUGCGGAUGCCCGGUGCUUUGUGAUACACUUUCGAAGAGUCGAGUUGUUUGGGAAUGCAGCUCAAAUUGGGUGGUAAAUUCCAUCUAAAGCUAAAUAUUGGCGAGAGACCGAUAGCGAACAAGUACCGUGAGGGAAAGAUGAAAAGCACUUUGGAAAGAGAGUUAACAGUACGUGAAAUUGUUGGAAGGGAAACGAUUGAAGUCAGACUUGUUAUCUGGAGUUCAGCCUUUCGGUGUACUCUCCAGUUUACAGGCCAGCAUCAGUUUUCGGGGCGGGAAAAUCGUAAUUAGAAGGUAGCAGCCUAGCUGUGUUAUAGCUCUUUACUGGAUUCCGCUUUGGGGACUGAGGAACGCAGUGUGCUUUUAGCAAUACCCUCGGGUAUUUCACACUUAGGAUGCUGGAGGAAUGGCUUAAACGACCCGUCUUG
rnacentral:rRNA from 1 species